GACGAACGCUGGCGGCGUGCCUAAUACAUGCAAGUCGAGCGAAGUUUUUCUGGUGCUUGCACUAGAAAAACUUAGCGGCGAACGGGUGAGUAACACGUAAAGAACCUGCCUCAUAGACUGGGACAACUAUUGGAAACGAUAGCUAAUACCGGAUAACAGUAUUUCUCGCAUGAGAGAUAUUUAAAAGUUGGUUAUGCUAACACUAUGAGAUGGCUUUGCGGUGCAUUAGCUAGUUGGUGGGGUAAAGGCCCACCAAGGCGGCGAUGCAUAGCCGACCUGAGAGGGUGAUCGGCCACACUGGGACUGAGACACGGCCCAGACUCCUACGGGAGGCAGCAGUAGGGAAUCUUCCGCAAAGGGCGAAAGCCUGACGGAGCAACGCCGCGUGAGUGAAGAAGGAUUUCGGUUCGUAAAGCUCUGUUGUUAGGGAAGAAUGGAUAUGUAGUAACUAUACAUGUAAGAGACGGUACCUAACCAGAAAGCCACGGCUAACUACGUG
rnacentral:rRNA from 1 species